AUGAAAGGGAUAUUUUGGAAUUGUAGGGGAGCAGGUAAAAGAGGAAUGAGUACCUGUUUCUCUGACAUGAUAAAAGAUCAUUCCCUAGAUUUCCUUUGCCUUCAAGAGACUAAGAAAAAGAAUUUCCCUCCCAAAAGUAUAAGGAAAAUAGGCCCUGCGGCUCGAUUUGAUUGAAAUUGGAUUCCAUCAAUUGGCAAGUCAGGGGGGAUUCUUUGUGGUGUUAAAAGGGAGACUUUAUAA
rnacentral:rRNA from 1 species